rnacentral:rRNA from 1 species
ACCGGCGCACGGGUGCGUAACGCGUAUACAAUCUACCUUUUACAGGGGGAUAGCCCAGAGAAAUUUGGAUUAAUACCCCAUAGUAUUAAUAAUUGGCAUCGAUUAUAAAUUAAAGAUUUAUCGGUAAAAGAUGAGUAUGCGUUCUAUUAGCUAGUAGGUAAGGUAACGGCUUACCUAGGCAACGAUAGAUAGGGGCCCUGAGAGGGGGAUCCCCCACACUGGUACUGAGACACGGACCAGACUCCUACGGGAGGCAGCAGUGAGGAAUAUUGGACAAUGGGCGAGAGCCUGAUCCAGCCAUGCCGCGUGCAGGAAGACUGCCCUAUGGGUUGUAAACUGCUUUUAUACAGGAAGAAACACUCCCUCGUGAGGGAAUUUGACGGUACUGUAAGAAUAAGGAUCGGCUAACUCCGUGCCAGCAGCCGCGGUAAUACGGAGGAUCCAAGCGUUAUCCGGAAUCAUUGGGUUUAAAGGGUCCGUAGGUGGAUAAUUAAGUCAGAGGUGAAAUCCUGCAGCUCAACUGUAGAAUUGCCUUUGAUACUGGUUAU